UACAGAGGUCUCAAGCGUUGUUCGGAUUCAUUGGGCGUAAAGGGUGCGUAGGUGGCGCUGUAAGUCGGGUGUGAAAUUUCGGAGCUUAACUCCGAAACUGCAUUCGAUACUGCGGUGCUUGAGGACUGGAGAGGAGACUGGAAUUUCAUGGUGUAGCAGUGAAAUGCGUAGAGAUCAUGAGGAAAGACCAGUGGCGAAGGCGGGUCUCUGGACAGUUUUCCUGACACUGAGGCACGAAGGCCAGGGGAGCAAACGGGG
rnacentral:rRNA from 1 species